rnacentral:rRNA from 1 species
UACGUAGGGUGCGAGCGUUGUCCGGAAUUAUUGGGCGUAAAGAGCUUGUAGGCGGUCUGUCGCGUCUGCUGUGAAAAUCCGGGGCUCAGCCCCGGACUUGCAGUGGGUACGGGCAGACUAGAGUGUGGUAGGGGAGACUGGAAUUCCUGGUGUAGCGGUGAAAUGCGCAGAUAUCAGGAGGAACACCGAUGGCGAAGGCAGGUCUCUGGGCCACUACUGACGCUGAGAAGCGAAAGCAUGGGGAGCAAACAGG